GAUGAAGAACGUAGCGAAAUGCGAUAAGUAAUGUGAAUUGCAGAAUUCAGUGAAUCAUCGAAUCUUUGAACGCACAUUGCGCCCCUUGGUAUUCCGAGGGGCAUGCCUGUUCGAGCGUCAUUAUAACCCUCAAGCUCAGCUUGGUGUUGGGGCCUGCUGCAGUGGCAGCCCUUAAAAUCAGUGGCGGCGCCAUCUGGCUCUAAGCGUAGUAAUUCUUCUCGCUAUGGAGUCCUGGUGGAUGCUUGCCAUCAACCCCCAAUUUUUCUAUGGUUGACCUCGGAUCAGGUAGGGAUACCCGCUGAACUUAAGCAUAUCAAUAAACGGAGGA
rnacentral:misc_RNA from 1 species